GUGUCAGCAGCCGCGGUAAGACGGGGGAGGCAAGCAUUGUCCGGAAUUAUUGGGCGUAAAGAACACGUAGGCGGUUUUUAAAGUCAAUUGUGAAAACCUUGGGCUCAACCCGAGGAUUGCAGUUGAUACUGGAAAACUAGAGUACAGUAGAGGAAAGUGGAAUUCCUGGUGUAGCGGUGAAAUGCGCAGAUAUCAGGAAGAACACCAGUGGCGAAAGCGGCUUUCUGGACUGUUACUGACGCUGAGGUGUGAAAGCUAGGGGAGCGAACAGGAUUAGAUACCCCCGUAGUCC
rnacentral:rRNA from 1 species